rnacentral:sRNA from 1 species
AACAAAGGCAGUGAGUUAUCUCAAAUGACCAUUUAGUCAUUUACAGAUGGAAUUCCUUGUUCUACUUUUUCCCUCCUCUCUACUGCACUUGACAAGUCUUAA